rnacentral:rRNA from 1 species
GGAAUCUUGAGAGCGGCGCACGGGUGCGGAACACGUGUGCAACCUGCCUUUAUCUGGGGGAUAGCCUUUCGAAAGGAAGAUUAAUACCCCAUAAUAUAUUGAGUGGCAUCACUUGAUAUUGAAAACUCCGGUGGAUAGAGAUGGGCACGCGCAAGAUUAGAUAGUUGGUGAGGUAACGGCUCACCAAGUCAAUGAUCUUUAGGGGGCCUGAGAGGGUGAUCCCCCACACUGGUACUGAGACACGGACCAGACUCCUACGGGAGGCAGCAGUGAGGAAUAUUGGACAAUGGGUGAGAGCCUGAUCCAGCCAUCCCGCGUGAAGGACGACUGCCCUAUGGGUUGUAAACUUCUUUUAUACUGGGAUAAACCUACCCUUCGUGAGGGUAGCUGAAGGUACAGUAUGAAUAAGCACCGGCUAACUCCGUGCCAGCAGCCGCGGUAAUACGGAGGGUGCAAGCGUUAUCCGGAUUUAUUGGGUUUAAAGGGUCCGUAGGCGGACUCGUAAGUCAGUGGUGAAAUCUCAUAGCUUAACUAUGAAACUGCCAUUGAUACUGCGGGUCUUGAGUAAAGUAGAAGUGGCUGGAAUAAGUAGUGUAGCGGUGAAAUGCAUAGAUAUUACUUAGAACACCAAUUGCGAAGGCAGGUCACUAUGUUUUAACUGACGCUGAUGGACGAAAGCGUGGGGAGCGAACAGGAUUAGAUACCCUGGUAGUCCACGCCGUAAACGAUGCUAACUCGUUUUUGGGUUUUCGGAUUCAGAGACUAAGCGAAAGUGAUAAGUUAGCCACCUGGGGAGUACGUUCGCAAGAAUGAAACUCAAAGGAAUUGACGGGGGCCCGCACAAGCGGUGGAUUAUGUGGUUUAAUUCGAUGAUACGCGAGGAACCUUACCAAGGCUUAAAUGGGAAUUGACAGGUUUAGAAAUAGAUCCUUCUUCGGACAAUUUUCAAGGUGCUGCAUGGUUGUCGUCAGCUCGUGCCGUGAGGUGUUAGGUUAAGUCCUGCAACGAGCGCAACCCCUGUCACUAGUUGCCAUCAUUCAGUUGGGGACUCUAGUGAGACUGCCUACGCAAGUAGAGAGGAAGGUGGGGAUGACGUCAAAUCAUCACGGCCCUUACGCCUUGGGCCACACACGUAAUACAAUGGCCGGUACAGAGGGCAGCUACUAUGCGAAUAGAUGCGAAUCUCGAAAGCCGGUCUCAGUUCGGAUUGGAGUCUGCAA